CCUACGGGUGGCAGCAGUGAGGAAUAUUGGUCAAUGGGCGCGAGCCUGAACCAGCCAAGUCGCGUGAGGGAAGACGGUCCUAUGGAUUGUAAACCUCUUUUGUCGGGGAGCAAAAGCCGGACGUGUCCGGCUGUGAGAGUACCCGAAGAAAAAGCAUCGGCUAACUCCGUGCCAGCAGCCGCGGUAAUACGGAGGAUGCGAGCGUUAUCCGGAUUUAUUGGGUUUAAAGGGUGCGUAGGCGGUCCGGAAAGUCAGCGGUAAAAUUGAGAGGCUCAACCUCUUCGAGCCGUUGAAACUGGUUUUCUUGAGUGAGUGAGAAGUAUGCGGAAUGCGUGGUGUAGCGGUGAAAUGCAUAGAUAUCACGCAGAACUCCGAUUGCGAAGGCAGCAUACCGGCGCUCAACUGACGCUCAUGCACGAAAGUGUGGGUAUCGAACAGGAUUAGAUACCCGGGUAGUC
rnacentral:rRNA from 1 species